GAAACAGCCCAGACCACCAGUUAAGGUCCCCAAAUAUAUGUUAAGUGGAAAAGGAUGUGGGGUUGCUUAGACAACCAGGAUGUUGGCUUAGAAGCAGCCACCAUUGAAAGAGUGCGUAAUAGCUCACUGGUCGAGUGACCCCGCGCCGAAAAUGUACCGGGGCUAAACAUAUUACCGAAACUGUGGAUGAACCUCUUUAGAGGUUCGUGGUAGGAGAGCGUUCUAAGGGCGGUGAAGUCAGACCGGAAGGACUGGUGGAGCGCUUAGAAGUGAGAAUGCCGGUAUGAGUAGCGAAAGAAGGGUGAGAAUCCCUUCCACCGAAUAUCUAAGGUUUCCUGAGGAAGGCUCGUCCGCUCAGGGUUAGUCGGGACCUAAGCCGAGGCCGAUAGGCGUAGGCGAUGGACAACAGGUAGAGAUUCCUGUACCAGUGCUAAUUGUUUAACCGAUGGGGUGACACAGAAGGAUAGGGAAUCGCACGAAUGGAAAUGUGCGUCCAAGCAGUGAGUGUGAG
rnacentral:rRNA from 1 species